rnacentral:rRNA from 1 species
UCAAAGAUUAAGCCAUGCAUGUCUAAGUUCACACCCUCGUACGGUGAAACCGCGAAUGGCUCAUUAAAUCAGUCGAGGUUCCUUAGAUGAUCCAUUUCUACUUGGAUAACUGUGGUAAUUCUAGAGCUAAUACAUGCCCAACAGCUCCGACCCCGGGCUUCGCGGUUCGGGGAAAGAGCGCUUUUAUUAGUUCAAAACCAGUCGGGGGUUUCGGCCCUCGUGCUUUGGUGACUCUGGAUAACUUUGAGCCGAUCGCAUGGCCUCGAGCCGGCGACGCAUCUUUCAAAUGUCUGCCCUAUCAAAUGACGACGGUACGUGAUCUGCCUACCGUGUUGACUACGGGUAGCGGGGAAUCAGGGUUCGAUUCCGGAGAGGGAGCAUGAGAAACGGCUACCACAUCC